GAAAUGCGAUAAGUAGUGUGAAUUGCAGAAUUCAGUGAAGCAUCGAAUCAUUGAACGCACAUUGCGCCCCUUGGUAUUCCAUGGGGCAUGCCUGUUCGAGCGUCAUUUGUACCCUCAAGCUUUGCUUGGUGUUGGGCGUCUUGUCUUCUUCUGGAGGACUCGCCUCAAAACAAUUGGCAGCUGGCAUAUUGGUAUCGGAGCGCAGCACAAGUCGCACUUCUUUACAUGAAUGUUGGCGGCCAUCAAGACCAUUUUUUCACUCAUGACCUCUUAUCAGGUAGGGAUACCCGCUGAACUUAA
rnacentral:misc_RNA from 1 species